GCUGGGCGUGGUGGCUCACGCCUGUAAUCCUAGCACUUUGGGAGGCCGAGGUGGGUGGAUCACCUGAGGUCAGGAGUUCAAAACUGGCCUGGCCAUCAUGGUGAAACCCCAUCUUUA
ensembl:misc_RNA Metazoa_SRP Metazoan signal recognition particle RNA